GAUGAACGCUAGCGGCAGGCCUAAUACAUGCAAGUCGAACGAUACUUUCCAGCUUGCUGGAAAGGAAAGUGGCGCACGGGUGCAUAACGCGUAUGCAACCUACCUUAAUCAGGGGGAUAGCCCGAAGAAAUUCGGAUUAACACCGCAUAAAAUCACAGUACAGCAUUGUACAAUGAUCAAAUAUUUAUAGGAUUAAGAUGGGCAUGCGUGACAUUAGCUAGGUGGCGGGGUAACGGCCCACCACGACGACGGUGUCUAGGGGAUCUGAGAGGAUGACCCCCCACACUGGUACUGAGACACGGACCAAACUCCUACGGGAGGCAGCAGUAAGGAAUAUUGGUCAAUGGAGGCAACUCUGAACCAGCCAUGCCGCGUGCAGGAAGACAGCCCUCUGGGUCGUAAACUGCUUUUAUUCGGGAAUAAACCUACUUACGUGUAAGUAGCUGAAUGUACCGAAGGAAUAAGGAUCGGCUAACUCCGUGCCAGCCGCCGCCGUAA
rnacentral:rRNA from 1 species